AGGAAGAUGUAAAGGUUAUAGCUUAAUUACUAAUAGUAUUAAAGAUUGAAAGUUCAAUUCUUUCUUCUCCUA
rnacentral:tRNA from 1 species